GAGAUGUGUGAUGACGCAUAUCAAUAAGCGGAGGAAAAGAAACUAACAAGGAUUCCCUUAGUAACGGCGAGUGAAGCGGGAAGAGCUCAAAUUUGAAAUCUUCAAGGUUCUACCUUGACGAAUUGUAGUUUAUAGAAGUGUUUUCUGUUGGAGUUUUGGUAAAAGUUCUUUGGAAUAGGACAUCAUAGAGGGUGAGAGUCCCGUAUUUGACCAUUUCUUCCAGCUGUGUGAUACACUUUCAAAGAGUCGGAUUGUUUGGGAAUGCAGUCCAAAAUGGGUGGUAAAUUUCAUCUAAAGCUAAAUAUUGGCGAGAGACCGAUAGCGAACAAGUACCGUGAGGGAAAGAUGAAAAGAACUUUGAAAAGAGAGUUAAACAGUACGUGAAAUUGUCAAAAGGGAAGCGUUUGACACCAGUGUUGUUUAGUUGAAAAUCAAUUAAAUAUUUUUCGAUUUUAAGUAGUAUUGACCUUAUCAGCUUGCUGCUUUUUUCUCGGAAAUUAUUGAAUGCACUUUUCAGUUAACAAGUCAACAUCAAUUUCUUUUGUUGUAAAAGGGUAAGAGGAAGGUGGCUUGCGCUUCGGCUCAAGUGUUUAUAGCCUUUUACCUCUGCAAUCGGAGAGAUUGAGGUCUGCAGCGUAGACUCUUCGGGGUUAGAUACAUUUAUGCUAAGCUAUAGCCUUGUAUAGACAACUUGUUGACUAUGCUCUAGUCAUGUAGCUUACUCGUAGAUGCUAUUUUACCUACGCUUAGGAUGUUGAGUCGUAGAGCACGCAG
rnacentral:rRNA from 1 species